UACAGAGGUCCCAAGCGUUGUCCGGAUUUACUGGGCGUAAAGAGCGCGCAGGCGGUCGUUCAAGUCGCGUGUGAAAGCCCCCGGCUCAACUGGGGAGGGUCACGCGAUACUGAUCGACUCGAAGGCAGGAGAGGGUAGUGGAAUUCCCGGUGUAGUGGUGAAAUGCGUAGAUAUCGGGAGGAACACCAGUGGCGAAGGCGACUACCUGGCCUGUUCUUGACGCUGAGGCGCGAAAGCUAGGGGAGCAAACGGG
rnacentral:rRNA from 1 species